ACGGUGAACUCCAAAUGUACAUUGUGAUAAUAUUUGUACAUGGAGAAUACCGUGGGAAGUCUAACGGAUGUCCAAAGGUCAAUAGUAAUAGGUAAACUAC
rnacentral:autocatalytically_spliced_intron from 2 species